rnacentral:rRNA from 1 species
GUAAGUGCGGGCGUGCUUAACACAUGCAAGUCGAACGAUGAAGCCCAGCUUGCUGGGUGGAUUAGUGGCGAACGGGUGAGUAACACGUGAGCAACCUGCCCCUGACUCUGGGAUAAGCGCUGGAAACGGCGUCUAAUACUGGAUAUGAGCCUUCCACGCAUGGUGGGGGGUUGGAAAGAUUUUUUGGUUGGGGAUGGGCUCGCGGCCUAUCAGCUUGUUGGUGAGGUAAUGGCUCACCAAGGCGUCGACGGGUAGCCGGCCUGAGAGGGUGACCGGCCACACUGGGACUGAGACACGGCCCAGACUCCUACGGGAGGCAGCAGUGGGGAAUAUUGCACAAUGGGCGGAAGCCUGAUGCAGCAACGCCGCGUGAGGGAUGACGGCCUUCGGGUUGUAAACCUCUUUUAGCAAGGAAGAAGCGAAAGUGACGGUACUUGCAGAAAAAGCGCCGGCUAACUACGUGCCAGCAGCCGCGGUAAUACGUAGGGCGCAAGCGUUAUCCGGAAUUAUUGGGCGUAAAGAGCUCGUAGGCGGUUUGUCGCGUCUGCUGUGAAAUCCCGAGGCUCAACCUCGGGCCUGCAGUGGGUACGGGCAGACUAGAGUGCGGUAGGGGAGAUUGGAAUUCCUGGUGUAGCGGUGGAAUGCGCAGAUAUCAGGAGGAACACCGAUGGCGAAGGCAGAUCUCUGGGCCGUAACUGACGCUGAGGAACGAAAGGGUGGGGGAGCAAACAGGCUUAGAUACCCCUGGUAAUCCACCCCCGGUAA